CUCACAGAUGCAUCACAUCAACAGCACAAGUUUAGCUGCCUCCUUCCUUCUCCUCCUUUACCUGCCCUCCCUGAUGCAUCGCUUCCUUGCUGUCCCUGGACCUCGGGUACUGGCUGCAUGGAGGGCGGGUGCCUUUUAUCAGAAGACAAGGAGACGUCUUCUCCUUAGGAAAUGUUUAUGUGCCUUCCACAACACCAAAUUGAGAAAACAGAUUACCUUCCAGAAAGCCAUCUGUUUCAGCAUGAUGUGAAAACUCAGAGAAGAAUCCCACCUGGAAGGUGUCAUCUGAGAAACACCAGCAACUGAACCUCUGGACCCGACUGAGUAGCUCUUGCUGGGAAGCUGCACCAUUUUAUCAGUAGAGCUUUAAUUGUGGAGAGACUUCUCAUGCAGUUGUCUGCCACACUGUCGUUUUUUCAUGGUUACCUUAUCUAAAAUGAACCUCGCCUGCCUGUCUUUCCAUGGUUCUAUGGCUCAUUAUUGCUGCUGUAAAACUAG